rnacentral:lncRNA from 1 species
AUCACCAUAACACCUAAGCCCUUGGGAAAUUCGAAAUUCUACAGGAUUUUGAGGAGGAAGCCUAAGAGGGCGGACACAGCAAGAUACCUGGAGGAAAAUGACAGGCUUUUAUUACAGGAGUUGAGAAGCCUCCUCUGUAACCAAGGAGACAAGAAUGUUUCAAAAGCACAUAUGAAGGUUUGAUGCCUGAGAAACUACUAGUGGACAAGUCUAUGACAAUCAACAAAGAAGCACUGAAUUUCGGGAUGCAACAGCACACCCCUGUACUGCAGGCAUUACGCUCCUGGGGAGCUAUAAGGAGGACCAUACAAUGGGAUGAACGAGUGGGAGUGAGAACUGCUAAGUAUGAUGUCUGCACGUCCCAGAGGCUCCG